rnacentral:rRNA from 1 species
UUUGCCAGGGAACUACGAGCCGCAGCUUAAAACCCAAAGGACUUGGCGGUGCUUUAGACCCCCCUAGAGGAGCCUGUUCUAGAACCGAUGACCCCCGUUAAACCUCACCCUCUCUUGUAUUUUCCCGCCUAUAUACCGCCGUCGUCAGCUUACCCUGUGAAGGACCUAAAGUGAGCACAAUUGGUAGUACCUAAAACGCCAGGUCGAGGUGUAGCCAACGAGAGGGGAAGAAAUGGGCUACAUUCACUGCCCCAGUGAACACGGAUGAUGAAUUGAAACAAACAUCUAAAGGAGGAUUUAGCAGUAAGGGGUGAAAUAGAGUGUCCCCCUGAAACUGGCCCUGAAGCGCGCACACACCGCCCGUCACUCUCCCCAAACAAAUAAACAUAAUAAAUAAAAACUCAUAAAAACAAAGGGGAGGCAAGUCGUAACAUGGUAAGUGUACCGGAAGGUGCACUUGGAAAAAA